AUGCCCCAUGAUCACAGCCCAAUGGAGCAGUAUCAGACUCAUGUUCUGACUAGAAUCUGAGUCUGAUGACGUCAGGCUAGGUCUGGCUAUGAAAAAUAAG